rnacentral:sRNA from 1 species
UGACCGAUGCAGAUGCCAGGUCGGCGAU